AGAGUUGUAUCCUGGCUCAGAUUGAACGCUGGCGGCAUGCCUUACACAUGCAAGUCGAACGGCAGCACGGAGCUUGCUCUGGUGGCGAGUGGCGAACGGGUGAGUAAUAUAUCGGAACGUACCCAAGAGUGGGGGAUAACGUAGCGAAAGUUACGCUAAUACCGCAUACGAUCCAAGGAUGAAAGCAGGGGACCGCAAGGCCUUGUGCUCCUGGAGCGGCCGAUAUCUGAUUAGCUAGUUGGUAGGGUAAAAGCCUACCAAGGCAUCGAUCAGUAGCUGGUCUGAGGGGACGACCAGCCACACUGGAACUGAGACACGGUCCAGACUCCUACGGGAGGCAGCAGUGGGGAAUUUUGGACAAUGGGCGCAAGCCUGAUCCAGCAAUGCCGCGUGAGUGAAGAAGGCCUUCGGGUUGUAAAGCUCUUUUGUCAGGGAAGAAAAGGGAUUGGCUAAUAUCUGAUCCUCAUGACGGUACCUGAAGAAUAAGCACCGGCUAACUACGUGCCAGCAGCCGCGGUAAUACGUAGGGUGCAAGCGUUAAUCGGAAUUACUGGGCGUAAAGCGUGCGCAGGCGGUUUUGUAAGACUGUCGUGAAAUCCCCGGGCUCAACCUGGGAAUGGCGAUGGUGACUGCAAGGCUAGAGUUUGGCAGAGGGGGGUAGAAUUCCACGUGUAGCAGUGAAAUGCGUAGAUAUGUGGAG
rnacentral:rRNA from 1 species